CUUUGUUUUGUUUAUUUUUCCUACUUGAAUUAAAGUAUAGAAAAGACACAUUACAAGACUAUCAUAAAAGGUUUGUUGUAAACUGUGUAAUUUGUUGUAAUACUCUGGAAACUCAGAGUAAUAAAGAUAAACCAACUUAUAAUGGCAAUGCUUGGAUUCCAGAAAUACUUUUUUUCCAUAACAACCUUGUUCAUUGCUCUUCUACUUACACCUCUGAGGCCAGAAACCCCACAGUUUAUAUCAGCAUUCAACUGGAUUUACUGUUACUUCCUCUGCUUAUUAAAGACAAACACAACAUAUACCAGUCAAUAAGCAAAAAGAAAUCAUUUUUAAACUAAUAAAAUUCCACUCUUUGCAAUGAUUUAAAAGUUGCUAGAUGAAAGAAUUUGAAAGUGCAGCCAUUUGAGUUGAUUACUAUGAAAAACUAAAGCAAUACUUUUCAGGGCUUCCAAUCAAGAGCAGCUUUGAACUUUGGCUCCCAUCGUGCACAUCAGUAAUUCUGUGACUCAGGCAAAUAAAGUAUUCUUCGCCCCCACACGAUCUGGGAGAGGCCAUCUGGUGUGGUGCUAUACUCAAUAAUAUGUUAUUUUGGGCCUCUACUUCAACUGGGACCCUUUACAUUUGUAGACUGAUUAUUAAAAAUCAGUUUUCUCAUUGUCUGUUGUUUUUCAUCACACCUAAGAUCAUAAGUGGAGAGUCUUGGGCAUACAAAAGUUUGGAGAGCUGGUACUGCCAUUUAGGGAGUUAUCCUUAUGUCAUUUUCAGUGAGUCAGGUCAAAACUUCCUGGCUGUUCUCUCCAGCCUCUACAAAUACAUGAGACCCUAGCAAAGCCUUUUUCACUGGCAAACACUUCCUUUGUUUAUUUACAGAUUCAUGCUAUGCUAGUUAGACUUAUGUUUGAUAUGUCAGAAUUGUUCCACACAAACCUGAGAACACUGUGAUGUAAGUUACCCGAAUGAGAUUGAUGCAGAGCUGAGACCAACAAGAGCCCUAAUAAUUUGGAAUUUAAAAUGUUGCAGACUUAACUCCUUUCCAUCACUUCAAACAGACAUUAAUUUCUCAUUUCCACCUUUCUACAUUCACCUUAAAAGGAGUGGCAAUUGUAAUGGAUGCCACUGUGUGCCAUACAGGUCCAGGACACUCAUCUACUCAAAAACUGGAUGUUUUGGUGGCUGACAACUUUCAGCUGAGACCUUCUGCAGGCAGUACCCUCACCCAAAGUUAUGUCCCUUCUUGGAGGCAGCCAUUCCAAUAAAAAGUCGCAAUCUUCCAUCCAGUUUCCAGAAUUAAGUCAAUAUUUAGAAUAAAACCUAUAUACAAGCAUAUUUUGGUGAUAUUGUGGAUAUCAUUCCAGACUACCACAAUAAAGCAAAUAUUGCAAUAAAGAGAGUCCCAGAAAUGUUUUGGUUUCUCGGUGCACAUAAAAGAUAUGUUUGCAUUAUAGUGCAGUCUCUUAAACAAUGUACACCCUUUAAUUUAAAAAUACUUUAUUGCUAAAAUAUGCUAAUGAUCAUCUGAACCUUCAGGGAGUCGUAAUCUUUUUGGUGGUGGAGGAGGGUCUUGUCUCAAUGUUGGUAGUUGCUGACUGAUCAGGGUGGUGGUUGCUGAAGGUUGGCAUGGCUGUGGCAAUUUCUGAAAAUAAAACAACAAUGAAGUUUGCCACAUCAACUGAUUUCUCCUUUCACAAAAGGAUUUCCUGUAGCACGUGAUGCUGUUUCAUAGCAUUUGACUCAUAGUAGAACUUCUUUCCAAAUUGGAGUCAAUCCUCUCAAACACUGCCAUUGUUUUAUCAACUAACUUUAUGGAAUAUUCUAAAUCCUUUGUUGUCAUUUCAGCAAUGUUCACAGCAUCUUCACCACGAGUAGAUUCCAUCUCAAGAAACCAUUCUUUGCUCAUCCAUAAGAGGCUACACCUCAUCUGUUCAAGUUUUAUUGCAGCAAUUCGGUCCAUCUUUAGGCUCCACUUCUAAUUUUGGUUUUCUUGC
rnacentral:lncRNA from 10 species